GAUGAACGCUGGCGGCGUGCCUAAUACAUGCAAGUAGAACGCUGAAGGAAGGAGCUUGCUCUUUCCGGAUGAGUUGCGAACGGGUGAGUAACGCGUAGGUAACCUGCCUGGUAGCGGGGGAUAACUAUUGGAAACGAUAGCUAAUACCGCAUAACAGUAGAUGUUGCAUGAUAUCUACUUAAAAGGUGCAAUUGCACCACUACCAGAUGGACCUGCGUUGUAUUAGCUAGUUGGUGAGGUAACGGCUCACCAAGGCGACGAUACAUAGCCGACCUGAGAGGGUGAUCGGCCACACUGGGACUGAGGCACGGCCCAGACUCCUACGGGAGGCAGCAGGAGGGAAACUUCGGCAAUGGACGGAAGGCUGACCGAGCAACGCCGCGUGAGUGAAGAAGGUUGUCGGAUCGUAAAGCUCUGUUGUAAGAGAAGAACGAGUGUGAGAGUGGAAAGUUCACACUGUGACGGUAUCUUAACAGAAAGGGACGGCUAACUACGUG
rnacentral:rRNA from 1 species